AGUUGAUCCUGGCUUAGGAUGAACGCUAGCGGCAGGCUUAACACAUGCAAGUCGAGGGGCAUCGGGAGUAGCAAUACUUGCCGGCGACCGGCGCAAGGGUGCGUAACGCGUGAGCAACAUGCCCGUAUCAGGGGGAUAAUCCAUGGAAACGUGGUCUAAUACCCCAUAGUAAUUAUGUAAGGCAUCUUAUAUAAUUUAAAGCUUUGGUGGAUACGGAUUGGCUCGCGUGACAUUAGCUGGAUGGUAAGGUAACGGCUUACCAUGGCUACGAUGUCUAGGGGUUCUGAGAGGAAGGUCCCCCACACUGGAACUGAGACACGGUCCAGACUCCUACGGGAGGCAGCAGUGAGGAAUAUUGGACAAUGGAUGGAAAUCUGAUCCAGCCAUGCCGCGUGCCAGGAAGACGGCCCUAUGGGUUGUAAACUGCUUUUGUAUGGGAGCAAUAAGGGCUACGUGUAGUCCGAUGAGAGUACCAUACGAAUAAGCACCGGCUAACUCCGUGCCAGCCGCCGC
rnacentral:rRNA from 1 species